rnacentral:misc_RNA from 1 species
GUGAAUCAUCAAAUUUUUGAACGCAAAUUGCACUCUCUUCGGAGAGUAUGCCUGUUUGAGGGUCAGCCUAAAAAAAAUCAACAUAGUUGCUUUUACCCGGUAACAUUGUUCGGAAAUUGGGUAAUCUUAACCCUUUGGGUUUAGGGGGCUUAAAAUUUUCUUUCGGAUUCAAAGAAGGUUUUUAGAAUUUUAUUUUUUUAUACUUUUAGGUUAUCAUUUUUUUUUA